CUAUAAGCUGAGCAGUCGAGAACCCUCGGUUGAGUACGCGGAGGUGAGUAACGCGUAGGAAUCUACCCGUGGGGGGACAACAGUUGGAAACAGCUGCUAUACCGCAUACGCCCUAUGGGGGAAAGCGGGGGACCUUCGGGCCUCGCGCUAUUGGAUGAGCCUGCGUUGGAUUAGCUAGUUGGGGGGAAGGCUCACCAGGCGACGAUCCAUAGCGGUCUGAGAGGAUGAUCACCACCGGAACUGAACACGGUCCAACUCCUACGGGAGGCAGCAGUGGGAAUUUGCCAAUGGGCGAAAGCCUGACGCACCAUGCCGCGUGUGUGAAAAGGCCCUAGGGUUGUAAAGCAUUUCAAUAAGAGAAAAGCUGCAGGUUAACCCCUGUAGCCGUGACGUUACCUAUAAAAAGCACCGGCUAACUCCGUGCCAGCAGCCGCGGUAAUACGGAGGGUGCGAGCGUUAAUCGGAAUUACUGGGCGUAAAGCGCGCGUAGGCGGUCUGGUCAGUUGGGUGUGAAACCCCGGGCUUAACCUGGGAACUGCAUCCAAUACUGCCAGACUAGAGUACGAGAGAGGGGGGUAGAAUUCCACGUGUAGCGGUGAAAUGCGUAGAUAUGUGGAGGAAUACCAGUGGCGAAGGCGGCCCCCUGGCUCGAUACUGACGCUCAGGUGCGAAAGCGUGGGGAGCAAACAGGAUUAGAUACCCUGGUAGUCCACGCCGUAAACGAUGUCAACUACCGUUGGAGACUUGAUUUUCUAGUGGCGCACUAACGCACUAAGUUGACCGCUGGGAGUACGGCCGCAAGGUUAAAACUCAAUGAAUUGACGGGGGCCCGCACAAGCGGUGGAGUGUGUUUAAUUCGAUGCAACGCGAAACUUACCGUCUGACAUCCUGCGAACCUUUAAGAUAGAGGGGGCCUUCGGAACGCAGUGACAGGCUGCAUGGUGUCUCAGCUCGUGUCUGAGAUGUGGGUAGUCCCGUAACGAGCGCCACCUGUUGCCAGCCGUGAUGGUGCUCUAGACUGACGAUAAGGGCAGUCAUCAUGACGGUGGUAAC
rnacentral:rRNA from 1 species